CAUCUGAAAUCAAGCAGGAUCACCCGCUGAACUUAAGCAUAUCACUAAGCGGAGGAAAAGAAAAUAACUAUGAUUGCCUCAGUAACGGCGAGUGAAGCGGCAAGAGCCCAAAAUGUAAAUCUUCACACUGCGUGUGACGAAUUGUAAUCUAAAGAUGGUUCGCUCACCGGGUGGUGGCGCAGAAGUGCCCUAGAACGGGCCGCCAGAGAGGGUGACAGCCCCGUAUGUGGUGCCACUACCUAACGAGCGGGUUAUCGAAGAGUCGGGUUGUUUUGUAUUGCAGCCCUAAGUGGGGAGAUAAACUUCUUCUAAGGCUAAAUAUAUAUGGGAAAACCGAUAGCGAACAAGUACUGUGAANGAAAGAUGAAAAAGAACUUUGAAAAGAGAGUCAAAANGACUUGAAAUCGUUGAGAAGGAAGCGGUANAAANUUAUUCUUCGGCGGGAGGACNGUGGNCNGCUGCCUAACCAUUGCUGNCUUUCNGAACCGCAAGGGCUGUAGUUA
rnacentral:rRNA from 1 species